rnacentral:rRNA from 1 species
AUGGGGAAGGCGGGGUUCGGGGUGGCGGCGGGGUGCGCGGCGGUGACGUGCGCGAUCGCGGCGGUGAUGGUGGCGCAGCGGGUGGCGGCCAGGGCGCGCUGGCGGCGGGCGGUGGCGCUGCUGCGGGAGUUCGAGGAGGGCUGCGCCACGCCGCCGGCGCGCCUGCGCCAGGUGGUGGACGCCAUGGUCGUCGAGAUGCACGCGGGGCUCGCCUCCGACGGCGGAAGCAAGCUCAAGAUGCUCCUCACCUUGGUCGACGCGCUCCCCAACGGGGAUGAAGAAGGUGUAUGUUAUGCCAUUGAUCUUGGAGGAAUGGACUUUAGAGUCUUGAGGGUUGAAAUUGAUGUUGGAUCUACAGCCGUUAUUAAUCAGAGGGUUGAAACUCAUGCCAUCCCUGAGGAGUUGAUGGGCACAAGUCAGGAUUUAUUCAACUUUGUUGCCUUGACACUCAAGAAUUUUGUUGAAAGAGAAGAUGGAAAAGAUGCCCAAAAGCCACUUGGGUUUACAUUUUCUUUCCCUGUUAGACAGAAUUCAGUUUCUUCAGGGUCAUUAAUUAGGUGGACUAAGGGGUUUUCAGUUGGAGACACAGUUGGGAAAGAUGUCUCUCAGUGCUUAGAUGAGGCGCUUGCUAGGUGUGGAUCAAAUAUGCGAGUUACUGCACUGGUCAAUGAUACUGUGGGGACAUUAGCUCUAGGGCAUUAUUAUUACAAGGAUACAGUGGCUGCUGUGAUCAUUGGGGCUGGCACCAACGCUUGCUAUAUCGAACGCAUUGAUGCAAUUAUCAAGUCCCAGGGUCUUCCUACAAACUCUGGAGGAAUGGUAGUUAACAUGGAAUGGGGAAAUUUCUGGUCAUCACAUUUGCCAAGAACUCCUUAUGACAUCUCUUUGGACGACGAGACACAAAAUCGCAAUGAUCAGGGCUUUGAGAAAAUGAUCUCAGGUAUUUACCUUGGGGAAAUUGCAAGACUGGUACUCCAAAGAAUGGCCCAAGAAUCAGACAUUUUUGGUGAUGGUGCCGAAAGUCUGUCAACCCCUUUUAUUUUGAGCACACCAUAUCUGGCAGCAAUUUGCGAGGACGAUUCACAAGAUCUGAGCGAAGUCAGAAGGAUACUGCAAGAACACCUGAAGAUCCCCAAUGCCCCUCUGAAGACCCGGAGGCUGGUGGUCAAAAUCUGCGACAUCGUGACCCACAGAGCUGCCCGUCUCGCCGCUGCUGGCAUCGUGGGCAUACUGAAAAAGCUGGGCCGAGACGGGAGCGCCAGCGCGGCCUCCUCGAGCGGAAGAAUGAGAGAGCAGCCCAAGGAGACGGUGGUCGCAAUCGAGGGCAGCCUGUACCAGGAGUACCCGGUGUUCAAGGAGUACCUGGACGAAGCCCUGGUGGAGAUCCUGGGCGAGGAGGUGGCGCGGACGGUGACGCUGCGGGUGAUGGUGGAUGGGCCGGGGACCGGGGCUGCGCUUAUGGCCGCGGUGCAUUCGUCGAAUAGACAGCAACAAGGUGGAGGGGGAGGAGGUACCAUAUAG